rnacentral:rRNA from 1 species
GACGAACGCUGGCGGCGUGCUUAACACAUGCAAGUCGAACGGAAAGGCCCUGCUUUUGUGGGGUGCUCGAGUGGCGAACGGGUGAGUAACACGUGAGUAACCUGCCCUUGACUUUGGGAUAACUUCAGGAAACUGGGGCUAAUACCUGAUAGGAGCUCCUGCUGCAUGGUGGAGGUUGGAAAGUUUCGGCGGUUGGGGAUGGACUCGCGGCUUAUCAGCUUGUUGGUGGGGUAGUGGCUUACCAAGGCUUUGACGGGUAGCCGGCCUGAGAGGGUGACCGGCCACACUGGGACUGAGAUACGGCCCAGACGCCGACGGGAGGCAGCAGGGGGGAAUAUUGCACAAUGGGCGGAAGCUGGAUGCAGCAACGCCGCGUGCGGGAUGACGGCCUUCGGGGUGUAAACCGCUUUCGCCUGUGACGAAGCGGGAGUGGCGGGAAUGGGUAAAGAAGCACCGGCUAACUACGGG